CUGUUAAUUUUUUUGUUGUAAUGCUGUAACAGAAACUUCAUUUGUUGAUCCUGUGUUUGGCAUUUCUCCCAAUAAGAAGCAUUUGUUUUCCUAGACAAUCAAUAGGUUUCAGGCAAGAUUCUUUUUUCUACUUUCUCAUAGGAACUUUUCAUCUCAUUCUUUUGUAGACCUUAAUGAGAAGUGCCUGAAUGCUUAGUUUUUCUAAAGACCCCAGAAGCAACCUAUCUUCCAGUUAUGUUCUCAAAUAGAGGCUACAUGUUUCUAGAAAUCAUCUUCUAAAUUAAUGCUGUGGGCUGAGGAAAAUGUUACAUCCUGAAAUUUGAAUAACUUUUUCAAGCUUUGUUUAAAUUCUGGACUGAAUAUUUUUUGUGAUCAUUCAAGUGAUUCUGAAAAAUUCUCUUAAUUAUAUUGUCUUUGAGUUUCAUUGGGAUUUUAAACAACUGUUCAGUCUCCAUACUAUCUAUUUUAUUAUGGUGAUUGUAUGCAUUAAUAUAUACAGAAUUUUUAUUAAUUUAAAAUUCUUUACAUGUAAGUAAUAAAUACUUAAGAUCUUACUGUUUCAGGUACUAUUUUAGGAGCUGGAGAGUUACAUACUAAUAGAAUUUUUGAGGUGAAAGAGACUUUAUAAUUUCUACAAGCCCCUUAUUUUCCAAACUGAAAAGUGAAAUGACUUGUCCCAAGUUUCAACUAGAUCUUUAAGAUCUCUUUCAUCUCCUAAGAUUCUAUAAGUCAAUUCUACAAGCCUGGUGGUAGAGCUGGACCUGAAUAUCAUGAUUUAAAAAAAGAAUAUUAAUAAGCUGGAUAAUGUCCAGAGGAAGGUAACCAGAAUGGUGAAGGAUCCUGAGACCCUGUCAUGUGAGGAUCAGAUGAGGAAAAGAGGACACAAACUGGAGAAGAGAAGACCAAAAACAUGCUUCUUCUGUGAAUUGGAUGAUAGGUCUUCAGUCAAACAUCAAUAGCCCAAGAAAUAUGAAAAUGGAGGAAAGCUCUAAGAUCAUUUAAUAUAUUUUUCACAUAUUUCCCUUUACAACUCUG
rnacentral:lncRNA from 1 species